GUGUCUUUCAUAUUUAUGUUUUGGCAUGCAACUAACCCAAAAAUUUGAGUUGGGGAUGUUUCUGAAAUUUGUUUGAUCUGACACAAAAAAAUGAAACUAUAAUAAGGUCACAGGUUUGUACUGGAUUGGUUUCAGUGUUGUGUAGAUGAUGACUGUGAAUGUCACGACCAAUGAAAUCUUCAGAAUCUGUGGUGGGCGGAGUUUGUGCUUGUGUUAAAAAGGUGAGGAAUAUUCACAUGAUCCUACAGGACUGGAGCAGAAGUCGAAGAGGAGGUUGACGACAUGAGUGUUUCAGAACCAUCCAGAAUAAAACAUGAAGAUACUGAGGAACAAACAGUCUGGAUGGAAGUAAAACAGCAAAGACAUGAGGUGAAUGAAGUGGAGGAGGAACAUUGUAAAGUCAAAACUUCAAGACAAAAAGACAAACAGCUUCACACCUGCUCACAGUGUGGAAAGAGUUUCAGACACAAAGGAAGCCUUAAGACGCACAUGAGGAUCCACACUGGAGAGAAACCACACACUUGUCCUCAGUGUGGGAAGAGUUUUACUGAUUCAUCAGGUCUCCGUUAUCAUCUUCACAUUCACUCUGGAGAAAAGCCUUUUAACUGUGAUCAUUGUUGUAAAAAGUUCAUUUCUUUAUCACAUCUAAAAGCACACCAGAAAGUUCAUUCAGAUGGGAAGCCUUAUGUGUGUUCUUACUGUGGAAAGUGUUUUUCACUGCGGAACAACUGUAAACGGCACCAGAAAAUACACACCGGUGAGAGAGAUCAUGUGUGUUGUGAGUGUGGGAUGAGCUUUACUACAGCUGCUGAUUUAAAAAUGCAUUUAAGAGUUCAUACUGGAGAGAAACCGUACAAGUGCUCCUACUGUGACAAGAGUUUUAGUCGGUCCACACACUUAAAAAAAACAUGAGCGAGUUCAUACUGGAGAGAAACCAUACCACUGUACUCAGUGUGGAAAGAGUUUCGCACGUACCGACGGUCUCAAAAAUCAUAUGCUCUGUCACGCUGGAGAAAAGCCAUUUAACUGUGAUCAGUGCGGUAACAAGUUUAUUUCUUCAUUACUUUUAAAAAAACACCUGAAAAUUCAUUCAGAGGAGAAGCCUUAUGUGUGUUCUUACUGUGGAAAGUGUUUUUCACUGCCGAACUACUGUAAACGGCACCAGAAAAUACACACCGGUGAGAGAG